CGCACAUUGCGCCCAUUGGUAUUCCGAUGGGCACGUCUGUUUGAGCGUCAUCGCAACCCUUCGGCUUGAUUGGUCUUUUUGGCCGGUCAGCCGGUGCUGAGCUUGGCUGCCCUGCCCCCUGGCAGGAACCUGGCUUUAAAGUUGCACGCUCUGCGGGCCCAGUCGCCCAGCAAAAACAUAGUAGAACUUUCAAACUGUUUGAGCUGAGCUUGGGCUUCCGCCUGAACAAAUUACCAACCUUUGAGUUUGACCUCAGAUCAGACGAGGAUACCCGCUGAACUUAA
rnacentral:misc_RNA from 1 species